UAGGUUGUGUGUUUGCCACCAAAGGACUAUCAAGUAAGAAGUGUCAACUAUAGUAACACAGAGGACUGGAGUGAAGAGGGGGCCAGGUCUGGAGAGGCGGCUGUCUAAAGGACUUGCGGAAGGCGUCUAGUUCAAGUGUGACCCGUUCUCCCGGUGCCCCGCGGUUGGCAUAAAAUGACCUCUGCCUCUAGAUGAGGAAACAGACACAAGGGCACUCAGAGAUGGCAGAGCUGAGCUCGAAACUCAGGGCGCCUGACUCCUGGGCUCAGGCCCUUCAUCCUCACCUUAUUACUAAUUAGAAACAUGACAGGUCCUGUAGUGAGAUGCCAUUGCAAUCAGAAUAAACAGAGUAAUAAGGAAAUGCUAAGCUCAUAGCAGGAACCCUAGCUGGGACUCUCAGCUCCAAUUGCAGGACUGGAAAAGAAUGUGUGGAUAGAAGCCAGCAAAAUCCUGGACAGAAAGUAUCUCAUUUACAACUAACUUACACCCAAGAAGAUGGAGCAAGGGAUGAAACAGAUGAAGCCAGCAGCAUCAUUUCUAGCACUGAAAAAUAAAUGGCACCCAUACCAUACCCUCUGAGUGACCUCCUGGGGAAUGGAAUUGAAAGCACAUUGAAUUGGAAGUAAUGGUUCCGUCAUCAGAACACCUGGAGAUACCAUCUUGGGAUACUUCACAACCACUGCACAGUGUUUCUUUUAUCAAAGGCCACAGCAUCUCAGAUCUGGAUAGAUUAAAUUGUCUCAGAAUGCUGGCAUCUUUACAUGCCUUCCCCCACAAGGAAUAAAUUAUUAGAAUCAUAAUUCUGGCUGAACAUCUGGCCUACUUGAUGUAUGGAGGAUUUGCAGCUAUUCAGAAAAAGGAACUUUAGAAUUUAAUAAGAUGUUGGUACAAGUGCCUUGUGUCUGGUUUCUUAUUAGUAUGCUUAAUUAAAGUUUGUUUUAUAUUUUAAUAAUAGCAAUUCCUUAUUUUAUGCUAGACAGUGAGUGUUACUGUUACAGCCAACUACUGAAUCAGAGGACAAUCUCUUUUCCUAAAUAUAGGAGAGUUAAAGGAAGACAUUUCCCCCCUCCAUCUCCCCAGAUGUGACUACUGAGGGUAGUUCUAAGGGUCUGAUUCCAGAUGUUUUCCUUUUCAUUUACACACACACACACACACACACACACACACACACACACACACACUCAGAUGCACGGAGUGCCACUAUGAGCAUCUCCCACCUG